ACACACUACACAGCAAGAAAUACACUAUCACCCUGUGAUCGAACCCAAAACAGACUUAUCAGAUAGAACAAUUUUGGUAAUAACUUAAGUAAUCCCCGGGUGAAGUUGGCCUGCACAUGUUACAAGUGUCCUAAUGCGUAACAAGGAUAAAAGAGUACACAACAAACUAUUUGAAACUAGGCUCAUGUGUGUGAUGUUCUACUGCUGUCCAGUGAUUAUGAAAACUACAGCCUUAAAUUUUGUUUACAAGGAAUAGAUGCACGGACAUCAAGCAGCCUACAGUGUGUGUUGAAAACCCUGCAAGUUGCCCUGGUUCAAGAAUUGACCUUUGCCAAGAGAAAGCCAAGCAGUAUGAAACCAGACAAUAACUUGGAAAAAGAGCAUUUAUUUUGGUCAGUGCACAAGUAUUAACAGGAAGAGAUAAAGAGAGCUGAAGAGAUGGAUAAAUCAAUUAUUAUAGUUAUAGUGGUAGCAAUAAUUUAAAAAAAAACAUUGAAACAUUUUGCCGGACAACUAAUCUGAAAAAAAGAAAAAGCUAGAUGGCAGGAAAAAGUAGCAGUUGCCAAAAUGAAAUGUGAAUAUGCUUAACAAAAUAGAACUGUUAGGUGUGGUUCAGCCCAAUUUUUGAAACAACUUAUUUUAAGAAAAUAAAAAUGUUUUUUGCCUUUACGUAUUUGACGCAUUAUCUUUGUACGACAAUUUUUUUACUUUAUUAUUUAAAAUGUACUUGCAAGUUUAAUACUUCAUUGCAUGUUUAUAUGUUAAAUAAACCUGCAUAAAUUAAAACCAAAUUUUGUUAGUAUUUGUUAGGUUAUGAAUGAAAUUUUUCAUUUUUCUUUAGU